AAACUAAAAGGAUAUUUAAUAAAUAAAAUACACUGCUGAAAUUAAAGGAAGGACUGAAGCGCAAUACGCUCCAAUGCUCAGGGAUCUAAACUGGCAAUAUACCAGACCCAAAACGCAGAGCUUAGGCGCGGACCUGACUGCAAACAUGCGCAAGUUACAGGGAUAGUUUAAAAGAACAAAGAAAUACAAAUGUAAACUGAUUGAAAGGUAGCGCAAAAAGAGGAAGGGCUUAGCGUGGAAUUAACCCUUUCAUACAAAGAAGUGCAGUUCUGUUUCCCUUUGAAACGGUGCCAUUUCACUUGCAAUUAAAAAAACAAAAAAAAAAAACAAUUGGAUUCUACCAUUUUCUUUACUAAAGUAUAUACCAGAGCCCCCUUUUUCUCCUACCCUUCACCUUGGUUGACUCUUAGGCUUCACCGGUGCAUAAUACGCCUCCACCACCGCCGAGGCUUUCACCGGAUCUGCAAGGAUCUGUCGACUUCAGACCGGAGAAGCGGGUUUGGCUAAAUCAACACUGAUCGAACCGCUAUUACAGCUCUAUUCGUUAUAGGCUUAUUCAGGGCAAAAAUGCUGUUUAGCAUUCGAUGGUCUCCACACGGAAUAGGCAUUCGGCGUGAAAAAUUUAGGCCAGAGUUCAACUUUACCCUUCCAUUUCUUUCUCACCUCUAUCACAGUUUUCUUCUUUUUUUCAUUCUUCUUCCCAUUUCCUUCCACCUUCUCCCUCUUUUUCAUGCUUUUAUCCUCACCAACCCUUCGGCAAACCCUAACAACCCUCAACAAGGCCUUCAAUUAAGAAUCGUAUGAGGUGAAAACUUGAGAAAUGAAAUAAUCGGAUUGGUUCGAUGUGAGCAGUCAUCCCUCAGUUUUGAAGAUUCAUGGUGUUUCUUCUUUUCACUUGCCAGUGUUAAAUUAAUGCUGCUGGCACAAUAUAAGACACUGUUAAAUUUCCGCCUCUCUGUUCACCCAGCUUGGUGGUUUUUAUCUUUAUUCACCCUGAAGCUUGUUUUACUAAUCGGGUAAAGACUACAGGUCUCAGUUUCAAAUGGAAAUGGUGCUUUAUUUGGAGCUAGUUAUAUCUAGAAUUGACUUCAAGAUAAGGACCAUAGAGCUUGAUAGAAAAAGGAUCAAGUUGCAUAUACUGCUGGGCAAGAGAGGUUUCGUACAAUAAUUAUUGGGUAUUGUUUUGGGUAUUGUUUUGCAUAAAUCUAUUAUUUGCAUAAUUAUUGGGAGGAAUAAUGCAACUUUUUAAAUAUAAACUAUCAAAUAAUAUUGCUAACAAAGAUAGUUUGAAAGAA